UUCUGCGUCAACACACCAUGAUCUCUGCAUCCCUACUGCUGCUGCUGGCAGCCGUACACUGUGUUCACUGUGUUGAGCUGAUCCAGCCCGGAUCCACAGUAUUAACCCCUGGUCAGUCAAUGACUCUGACCUGUAAAGUGUCUGGAUAUUCAUUAACUGAUAGCAACUACUGUACACACUGGAUACGACAACCUGCUGGAAAAGCUCUGGAGUGGGUCGGACAGAUAUGUGGUAGCGGUAACACUUACUACAGUGAGAAACUGAAAAGCAGGUUUCAGGUUUCCAGAGACACGUCCAGCAGCACAGUAACAUUAACAGGGCAGAACAUGCAGACUGAAGACACAGCUGUGUAUUACUGCGCUCGUGAACCACAGUGAGACAGAUCAACAACAUCCCUGUACAAAAACACCUCAUACAAAGUCCUUUUAGAACUUUUCCAACCAAGUCUAAAUGGUAAACAAACAAAUAAAUAAAUAAAUUACCCAAAUGACACCUAAUAGGUUAAAUUAAAUCAUUUUAUGAGUAGUUUGUAGUAUAGAUUUAAACAGUAUGCCAUCAAAACCAUAAUCUCUAAUGUUGCUGCAUGUUCUACACACAGUCAAAAGUUUUUGAUCUACUUGAUUUUAUGUUUUAGAUUUUACCAACAUAAAGUUAAUUAUUUUUCUUUAGCAUCCUUACGUGUUUUAUUCCUCUUAUACCACUGCAGUGUACUCACAAUUACAAUGUUGUAUUGAUUAAAGAAUGAGACAUCAUACAUUUUAUCCAUUUAUAAUCACAUUUAUUGUUGUGGAACAUUCAAAAAAUACAUUAUACAUUGUA